rnacentral:rRNA from 1 species
UACAGAGGGGGCUAGCGUUGUUCGGAAUCACUGGGGGUAAAGGGUGCGUAGGCUGUCCGUUAAGUCUGAUGUGAAAGCCCUGGGCUCAACUCAGGAAUUGCAUUGGAAACUGGCGGACUCAGAGUACCGGAGAGGGAAGCGGAAUUCCUGGUGUAGCGGUGAAAUGCGUAGAUACCAGGAGGAACACCGGUGGCGAAAGCGGUUUCCUGGCCGAGUACUGACGCUGAGGCACGAAAGCGUGGGGAGCGAACGGG